CAGGCCUAACACAUGCAAGUCGAGGGGUAGAGGCUUUCGGGCCUUGAGACCGGCGCACGGGUGCGUAACGCGUAUGCAAUCUGCCUUGUACAAAGGGAUAGCCCAGAGAAAUUUGGAUUAAUACCUUAUAGUAUACUGAUGUGGCAUCACAUUAAUAUUAAAGAUUUAUCGGUACAAGAUGAGCAUGCGUCCCAUUAGCCAGUUGGUAUGGUAACGGCAUACCAAGGCAAUGAUGGGUAGGGGUCCUGAGAGGGAGAUCCCCCACACUGGUACUGAGACACGGACCAGACUCCUACGGGAGGCAGCAGUGAGGAAUAUUGGACAAUGGGCGCAAGCCUGAUCCAGCCAUGCCGCGUGCAGGAUGAAGCAUCUAUGGUGUGUAAACUGCUUUUAUACGGGAAGAAACCCUGGCUCGUGAGCCAGAUUGACGGUACCGUAGGAAUAAGGAUCGGCUAACUCCGUGCCAGCAGCCGCGGUAAU
rnacentral:rRNA from 1 species